rnacentral:lncRNA from 1 species
ACAUAAAUUCGAGACCACCAUAUCAAUAAAUCAUUUCAAAGAACUCUUUCUUUAAAACUCAUGUAAACACAUAUAUGCAACUCUCUUUGUCAAACUUUCAAUGAUGCAAGGUGGCCAUGUCAAAGCUCUUGAUUUCAUGCAAAUCUUUCUCUUUUAAUAAAAUAUAUUUACAUCAAGAAACUCCCUCUCAUAAAUCUCUAAAUCAUGCUCAGAAUAC